UACGUAGGGUGCAAGCGUUGUCCGGAUUUAUUGGGCGUAAAGAGCGUGUAGGCGGUCAGGUAGGUCCGUUGUGAAAACUCGAGGCUCAACCUCGAGACGCCGAUGGAAACCAUCUGACUAGAGUCCGGAAGAGGAGAGUGGAAUUCCUGGUGUAGCGGUGAAAUGCGCAGAUAUCAGGAAGAACACCCGUGGCUAAGGCGGCUCUCUAGUACGGUACUGACGCUGAGACGCGAAAAGCGUGGGGAGCGAACAGG
rnacentral:rRNA from 1 species